CCUACGGGAGGCAGCAGUAGGGAAUUUUCGGCCAUGGGGGGAACCCUGACCGAGCAACGCCGCGUGAACGAAGAAGUUAUUCGUAAUGUAAAGUUCUUUUAACAGGGAAGAAAGAGAAAUUUGACGGUACCUGAAGAAUAAGCUCCGGCUAACUACGUGCCAGCAGCCGCGGUAAUACGUAGGGAGCGAGCGUUAUCCAGAAUUAUUGGGCGUAAAGGGUGCGUAGAGGGCAUAGUAAGUCUUUUGUAAAAAUGCUGGGCUAAACCCAGUAGGGCAAAAGAUACUGCAAAGCUAGAGUAUGCCAGAGGCAAGUGGAACUACAUGUGUAGCGGUAAAAUGCGUAGAUAUAUGUAAGAACACCAGUGGCGAAGGCGGCUUGCUGGGUCGAUACUGACAUUGAGGCACGAAAGCGUGGGGAGCAAACAGGAUUAGAUACCCCUGUAGUC
rnacentral:rRNA from 1 species